rnacentral:rRNA from 1 species
CCAAUAGCGUAUAUUAAAGUUGUUGCAGUUAAAAAGCUCGUAGUUGAAUUUCGGGGUCAGUAGGUUGGUCAUGCCACUGGUAUGUACUGGUCUCACUGAUUCCUCCUUCCUGAUGAGCUGUAAUGCCAUUAAUUUGGUGUUGCAGGGAAUCUGGACUGUUACUUUGAAAAAAUUAGAGUGUUUAAAGCAGGCUAACGCCUGAAUACAUUAGCAUGGAAUAAUGAAAUAGGACGUUCGAUCCUAUUUUGUUGGUUUCUAGGAUUGACGUAAUGAUUAAUAGGGAUAGUUGGGGGCAUUAGUAUUCAAUUGUCAGAGGUGAAAUUCUUGUAUUUAUUGAAGACUAACUACUGCGAAAGCAUUUGCCAAGGAUGUUUUCAUUAAUCAAGAACGAAAGUUAGGGGAUCGAAGACGAUCAGAUACCGUCGUAGUCUUAACCAUAAACUAUGCCGACUAGGGAUCGGAUGAUGUUAAUUUUUUAAUGACUCAUUCGGCGCCUUACG